AUGAACGCUAGCGGCAGGCUUAACACAUGCAAGUCGAGGGGUAGAAGCAGCUUGCUGCUUUGAGACCGGCGCACGGGUGCGUAACGCGUAUGCAAUCUACCUUUUACAGAGGGAUAGCCCAGAGAAAUUUGGAUUAAUACCUCAUAGUAUGUGAGAAUCGCAUGGUUUUCACAUUAAAGUUCCAACGGUAAAAGAUGAGUAUGCGUCCCAUUAGCUAGAUGGUAAGGUAACGGCUUACCAUGGCAACGAUGGGUAGGGGUCCUGAGAGGGAGAUCCCCCACACUGGUACUGAGACACGGACCAGACUCCUACGGGAGGCAGCAGUGAGGAAUAUUGGACAAUGGGCGCAAGCCUGAUCCAGCCAUGCCGCGUGCAGGAAGACGGUCCUAUGGAUUGUAAACUGCUUUUAUACAGGAAGAAACACACCCUCGUGAGGGUACUUGACGGUACUGUAUGAAUAAGCAUCGGCUAACUCCGUG
rnacentral:rRNA from 1 species